GAAGCUGAUAAACAUACACACCACAAAUCAUAUAAUACACCUAGUUGGUUACAUGCACAUGCUCAUUUUUGUGGGCUUGUUAUGCAGGUGCCUUUAGCACUCCAUCUUCGCAGACAAUGCUUCAUACGACAGGUUCAACUAAAAACAUUUAGACUUCAUCAGUGACAAGUGCAGGUGCUCCAACUUUCACAGGUUUGCCUAAUUAUCUUAAUUGGAACCCAUCAGUUGCAAAUUCAGGUGAUUCAGUCUCACAGCCUGCUAAAAUUAAAAUCCCUUGGAUCAUAUCUGCCACAAAUGCAUGAUCUUUUAGUACUCCAUCCUCACAGACCAUGCUUGAUACGACAGGUUCUACUAAAAACAUCGAGACUUCAUCAGUGACAAGUGCCGGUGCUCCAACUUUCACAGGUUUGCCUAAUUAUCUUCAUUGGAACCCAUCAGUUACAAAUUCAGGUUAAGUAUUUUUAAAUUUGUUGAACAUCUACAUUCGUUUUCAAACCUAGAUAAAUAUUUUCUGGAGAAUGGUUCAUCAUAGAGAACAUAGAGAACUAAUCAAGGGGCUAUAUGCAUAAUAUCUAACUGUUAAACUCUUCACAGGUGAUUCAGUCUCAUAGCCUGUUAAAAUUAAAAUCCCUUGGAUCAUAUCUGCCACAAAUGCACGUAAAUUAACUGAACUCUCAGCCGUUUUCCUAAGCAUGUAAGAAGCUCCAUCUACACAUAUUGAUACCUGAAAUUGUUUCAGAGAAAUUCCAUUACCGAUAAUAGUGUUCUAUCCAUAUUGAUUUCUCAUGUCCUCAUACCACUUGGUUGCUUCGGCAAGCUAUUUCGAAACUGUGGUGGAUAUCCUUUUAUGCCUCUUGCAUUUGUUGGCUGCUUUCUUUCUUCUACCUGUUCUAUGCCUAUAACAGUUGCAUGAUUUCACUUGCACAGUGGGUUGCCUGUACAUGUUCAUUUUUACGGUUAUAGGUCUUCGCUAAGAACUCCAGGAUCUCACUAAAAAAUGUUAGUCUGAGUUUAGAGUCUUGAUUUCCAAUCUACACUAGCCCUUCCCCCGCAUUUUUAAAUGUUUUGACUGUUAAGAGGACAUUAUGCGUAAAAGGUGAAUAAAUGAAUGUUAAUACUAAUACUUAUUUGGGUGAUUCUAAAGGGUUUUAAUACUUGGGCAGACCCAGUCGAUCUAAGAAAGAGGCUGACAACUGCUGAGGAAGAUGAUCCCGGUAAAAAAAGGCAACGGACAAAUAAAUUGGUAAUGCUUGGUAUAACUCGCUUUCUGCUCAGUCACGCAUCCUAUAUACUUAAGAAGUUCACCCCCACUACUUGAUUUAUCUCAACAUGCAGCAUAGACACCUCAUCAUCCAGUCACAUCCAGCCACGUCACACCUCAUGCAGUCCCAUUCAAGCCCACCUCCUUAGGCCUCAUAAAAUAUUACAAGGAAAAAUGAAAAUCUUUGGGAUUUCUUCAAAACGUACGCGCCAAUACAGUUCAGCGAGACGAACGCUGCUUCGUUUCCCAUAAAAGCGCAUACGCCAUAAUGGUUCCGUUUCCAAAGUAAUAGCUGAACAAGCGCUCCCUUAGAAAAAAGGCCCUCUGCCUCUCUCCCACAUAGCCACAUAAAACGUCAGUUUUCCCCUGCCAACAGAUAGCUCACAAUCGUGGAAAAAACUAAGCCAACCUUUUCCCCUAGCUAUGAAGAUCCAGCGAUGGGCAGGCGAUCUCCGCGUGAAGUCCAGUCAUCUCGCACGACCAUCGAUCUACUUCACCUGCAACUCCUCUCUACGCAGGCCAGACCACAGUUUCGUUGCCGGCCGCCCAGAUCGUCGCUGAGGGCACAGCCGAAUCGGCCUAAUCGGGUCGUUAUUAUGCUCCUAAUCUACCGGGCACGCCGGAUGGUCUACCUCGCCACCGUCUCUUGGCAGCUGGGACGUGAGCCGGGUUGUUUUAUGUUGCCGGCAACCUAGAAUCACAGAUCGUUAAUUAAGGCACAACCGAUGAGGCCUCUGCGAUGCUCGAUGGCCGCCGUCGGGUACCACAAGCAUCGCGGAGUUCGCCUCAAUCAGCAAAGAAGACUGUCACAGCGGCUCCUGCUCUGUGGCUGGUACAUCAGCUUAUCAGUGAGCAUUGUAGCACUUAGUUUCACGUUAGAUGAGGAAUACCAUUGUUACGUACUUCUAUACCAUGGUUGACAUACUUCUUUGUUGUACGAUCAUUUAUAUUCUGCAUUUAUGAUCAAUUCCUACUUCCCAGUCUCCAUCGUGCAUUCCGCACGCGUCAUCUGUGUCUCCGAGCACCAGGCUUCCGACACUCCGCUAUGAUCUCCACAUGAUCCCGCAUGGGCUUCACGGAGUUGUAGUUUCACUCAGAUAUAAGCAAUAGUAUUGAUGUCUAUUCACCAUCAAAAAAAAGUAUUGAUGUCUAUUUGCAAGAUGCCUGCCAAGGAGCUGCCAAAAUUAUCAACCUGGGCAUGUUCUAUGUAUUAGUGAUGCCUCUUUUAAUUGCAUUUGGCUAGGUUUUGUUUUGGUGCCAGACAGAACUUUGUUCACCCCAAUUAAGCCUUUCAGUUUACUAUCUUUGUUGCAUGUUAUGUUGCAUUAUACUCACUAAGGUGCAAUUCCUUCCCUCUGAAUUUGGAACUAUCAUGUUAUCGGCAGCUUUAGUAUAAAGGUUUGCAUUCUGCUCCAUCCAACACUUUCCUGUAAAAGUGCUCCUCCAUGUAGGUCACUAUAUAACAACUGAAAUUUUAAGCAUUGACUGGUAUGUAUUUGUAGAGACUAUGAUAGAUAUAGAAGCAUCAAAAUUUAAUAUAUGCCCAUCUUCAUUCUGCUGAAGUUUUACCUACUAUUUUUCUUUGCCUAUUAACCGAUUCAUGAAAUAAUUCACUGAGGUGGCCAAAUACAUUACUUUCAUAAAAUACAUAUGUGUUUUCUUUUUCUCUGUUAUUAAUUGUUUGACAUAUUAUUGUUAAUUGUACAAACUAAUCUUGAUUUUUCAGUUGCCGGCACUUUUUUUUUCUUGCCAUUUGAAUCUUGCCCAUUUGGAUCGUGUCUAAUGUGGCAAAGGUCACACAUUCAAUAUUUGUUUGUGAGACUCCAUUACUAAGGUGAGACAUUUCCCACUUAUCAGUUCGAGAUAUUGUCUGCAGUUUUAGUGUUCAAUUCAGCUGCUCGACACUUUAGGAUACCUCAUCCUUCACACCCAAAACAAGCUUCGGUUAGUUUUACCAUAAAAAAUGUUGUGUCAUUAAGUGUUGUUAUUCACAAUUCUCUUUUGUAAAGCAUAGUAACAAACUUAAAGGUUGUCAUUUUGUGGUUAAUGCAUUUCCAAAUUUGUUUUGGUGGUUAAUUUUAUUGAUUCAAAGUUUCUAAUUGGGCAAAUCCUAAUUAGUUCUUAAUUUCUUACACAUGGGAUUCAUUUUUCCUACUCUGCAAUCCAUCACGUAUGUAGCAAAUGGUUUAGUGGAUAUCACAUAUUUUUAUGUCAGUCAAUAUUAUAUAUAUAUAAUUUUUGUCUAUACUCCUUUAAAUAUUCAUCUACUAAUUCCCGCAGCAACGCGCGGGGUAGCAUCUAGUUUCCUAAGAAGUACCUACAAUAUUAACUGGCGGAGUACUUGUUGGAAUGCAGGAGCUAGAGUCUGAAACUGAAGCUGGUACUUGCGCCAUCAACUUGAUAGCCUGAUUGAGUCGGGCCUUACUCACUGUGCUCCUUCAAGUUGAUUAGUUGCAAUUGUGUUGGAGGAUACCAUUAAGGAGGUUUUUGGAUUAGAGAGUGGAUACUGUACCUUGCUGCGAACGGUCCUGUGACGGCGGUGAGCUGGGGUGGCAGAGAACGGUCCAGCGACGACGGCGAUGGCUACCAAGCGACAGGGCCGCACCAAAUAGGCGGAGGAUUAGGCACACAUCCGGUGACUCGCCGACCAUCGGAGACGGGAAGAGCCGGCUCGAGCCUGGCGGCAGUGGGUUCUUUUGGGAGAGAGCAGAGGAGCACUCGAGAUUUCUCCCCGAAACAAACACCUCCUAGGUAUAAAUCUUAUUAAUGGUUCAUUCCUGGAAUCGAUCCCUUCUUUGUUUGGUCAAUUCUUGAUCAGCAAAGGAGUGCACUCCCAUAUAAACAUAAGCAGGAUCACACACACACACCAUUGAUGUUGGUGUUUUGGUACAUCAGCAUGUUUGAUUAUAUACACAUAUGAAAAUGAAAU